ACCAUGCUGGGAGAUCCUUUGCCAGUGUGUUCCACCUCAUGUAAUAGAUUCCAGAGUCCUUCAAAGAGACCUCAAGAAUGUCACUGUAUCUCUUCUGACCUCAGUGCUUGCUUUGUAUGAGUUCACCAUAAAAUAGUCUUUUAGUUAACCAUACAUUUGGCAUUGAAACAAAGUGGUCAGCUCAUCAGAGUUGCACUCUCUGCAAUAGAGUUUGCCUGCUUAGCAGUUUAUUUUGAAAAAGGACCUCAUUGUUCAGUAUUUUAUCUUGCCAGGUGAUCUUUAGAAUCUUUACAAGACAAUUUAAGUGGAAGUAAUUCAGUUUCCUGGCAUGGUGUUGAUAGCUAGGUUUCACAGACAUACAACAAUGAGGUGAACACAAUGGCUCGGUAGACCUUUGGUGGGUAAUCUAAUACCUCUUCUUGCCCCAACUUUCCUUUCAAGCUUCCUAAAUAUUGAGCUAACUCUGGCAAUGACUGCAUCAACCCCAUCAUCUAUGUGUAUCUCCCUGGAAAGUAUACCGUCAAGUAAGAAUGAAGAGCAUUCUCAGCAACCAGUCUGUCAACAACCCAGAAAAUGCUGACAUCUUUCUGAAGAGACAAACCAUAUUGUGAAAAGCCCCAGAGGAAUCCUACAAACAUAUUUCAAGUUGACAAGUUGUGGGGAAGUCAAAAAGAAUCUUGCAACAGUUCUCACAAUUUCCAGUCACGCACAAAAACAAGAUCAAAGGCAUUGCCUGGCUUUUCAGGUGUAACCCUUCACCACAAGAUUAGGUCUGGUUGAACUCAUUUCCUCAUUAAUGUCAUUCAAGAGAAUGGCUCAUUUGUUGAAAUCAGAAACUUGUUGGAUGAAAAGUAUAUGUGAAAAGUGAUCAUGAGACUAGGUUGCUUGUUCUUUCUCAAGCCUCCAAAUAUGAGUUAACAUUUGAAGGAAAUGAUUCUGAAUUUGUAUCAAAUCCAGUAGCCCUGAUUCAACAAGUUACAACAGUAAAAACAAAUCAACAAACAAAAUUUUUUUUAAAGGAUUUUAAGAAAAUUUUGGAUGAUAGCUCCAUUUCUCAGAAAGGCACAAAGCAAAAGAUUAACAAAUAAGUUUGAAAAGUUGUACAGACGCUGCUGACGGCAGUAUCCUCAGGAUUUAACAUAAUUUAGAUGUUAAAAUAUAUUUGAAAAUUAGAGACUUGUUUUUAAAUUGUUACCACACUGAGAGAUUGUGACAAAAUUUAAAUUUCAGAUGUGUUAAAGUCAAUGGUACAAAGAAUUAGGCAGUUGAUUUGGGGUCCUUGAUUUUGGAAAGUCUUUUUACCAACCUUUACCAAGACUUUGGAUAUAGACUUUUUAAUAUGUUCAGAAAAUUUUCCUAAUAGUAGGCUUGCUAUCUAUUUCUGCACUAUAACAACAAUAAGAAGAAAACAUUGUUUUUAAAAAGAUUAAAAAAUAAAAUUAAGAGGUCGGACUAGAUAAUAUCUAGGCAGUAGUAUAGUACUGGGGAAAAGAACUUUACUCCUUAGCUAUAUAAACCUAGAUAAGUCACUGACCUUAGGCCUUAAUAUCUUCAUCUGUAAAAUGAUAAUAAUAAUACUUUCUAAGUCUAUCUCAGUUAUGUAUAAAUGUGAAAUAUUAUUGUCUAAGUAGGAGAGCCUCUACUGGUCUCAUAGGCACUGGAGCAUUACAAUUUUUCUUCUUUACAAGAGGCCCCUCUGUUCUACAUCUAAGCAUUCAUUCUGACCAGGUUCAAAAUUGCAAGUUUCAUCUCUAAUGAAAGGAGAGAAGGGUUCCUUUUCCCCUUUCUCAUAUCUCAAUGCAUUAAUUCCUUUAAUGGGAAUAAGUUAUUUAAAGCUAAGGUUUUGACUCAACUUAAUGAACGAAUGAAAAAUUAUUAAGCACCUACUAUGUUUCAAGCAAAAUUGUCUCAGGAUCCUGACCAAGGCGUCAUUUUUGAUGAUUCAUUGACUGUUCACCCAAACAGCCAAUCAACUGUCAAGUUUUGUUCCUUAUAAUCCCUCUAAUAUAUGUGUUCUUUCAUCUGUCACACAGUCACCAUGAUGAUACAGACCCUCUUUACCACAUUCCAGGAUUAUUGGAAUAGUUUGCUGGUUGAUCUUCCUUCUUCAAAUAUUUUUACUCCAGUUCAUCUUUCAUCAAAUUGAUUUUCCUAAGAUUCAAUAAUGUCAAACCUCUAUUCAUUCAUCUCCCAAUUGCCUUCAGACUCUGUGCUGUCUGAACAACUCUCACUACAUUCCUGUUGGUGAAAUGACUCAAGCCAGUCCUUUUGUUGGUGGCUAAUCUUCUUCCACUAACUAGUUCCACUCAUUGGACCAAGGACCUCUCAGUCUCUCAAAUCUACAGGGUCAUUUUUAUGAUUGUAUACAAAUAUCUACUAAUGCUUGUUUGUUUGCUCAGGAAAGGAAACAAAAGUGGGAAAGUUAUUCGGGGUGUCAGGUGCAAAUUCACCUAGAUGAGUCAGCAUUUCACUAUCUGUCAUAUUGGACCAUACCUUCCCUACCUCCAACUAAAAGUCUUAGAGUUAUAUGUCACCUGGAGGAUCAAAGGAAAGGAGAAGUGUUCUACCUUUUUCUUCAACUGAUACAGCACUUUCCUUCUAUUGGUAUCUUAGGAUGGCAAAUGGAUCAAGAGAUCAUGCAGGAUUUGCUGGGUGACGCUAAAAUCUGAAAUACUUUUAGGAUGGGUCAGCACAUGGCUAGAAGAAAUCAGGAAGUGCAUCAUUUCUGAUAUGACCAAAUAAUCAAUGCACAUGCUCUGUAGCAUAAUCCCUCUAGGCCAUCUCAAUCUAUGUUAUCAUUAUAUAUAAUAUACAGUAGUCAGAAUUUGCCCUAAUAGUCAAAGAACUAUUUGCUGCAUGAUAAACAGAGGAAUAUGAGCCAGGAGAACAAAAGAGGUGACUUUUUUUCUUCAUUUAGCCUUUAUUCUUUUUUUAUUUUUUAUUUAAUAAUUACUUUAUAUUGAUAGAAUCCAUGCCAGGGUAAUUUUUUUACAACAUUAUCCCUUGCACUCAUUUCUGUUCCGAUUUUUCCCCUCCCUCCCUCCACCCCCUCCCCUAGAUGGCAAGCAGUCCUAUAUAUGUUGGAUAUGUUGCAGUAUAUCCUAGAUACAAUAUAUGUUUGCAGAACUGAACAGUUCUUUUGUUGCACAGGAAGAAUUGGAUUCAGAAGGUAUAAAUAACCCGGGAAGCAAAACAAAAAUGCAGAUAGUUCACAUUCGUUUCCCAGUGUUCUUUCUUUGGGUGUAGCUGCUUCUGUCCGUCAUUUAUCAAUUGAAACUCAGUUAGGUCUCUUUGUCAAAGAAAUCCACUUCCAUCAAAAUAUGUUCUCAUACAAUAUUGUUGUCGAAGUGUAUAAUGAUCUCCUGGUUCUGCUCAUUUCACUCAACAUCAGUUCAUGUAAGUCUCGCCAGUCCUCUCUGUAUUCAUCCUGCUGGUCAUUUCUUACAGAACAAUAAUAUUCCAUAACAUUCAUAUACCACAAUUUACCCAGCCAUUCUCCAAUUGAUGGGCAUCCAUUCAUUUUCCAGUUUCUAGCUACUACAAAUACAUUUUGGCACAUACAGGUCCCUUUCCCUUCUUUAGUAUUUCUUUGGGAUAUAAGCCCAAUAGAAACACUGCUGGAUCAAAGGGUAUGCACAAUUUGAUAACUUUUUGGGCAUAAUUCCAUAUUGCUCUUCAGAAUGGUUGGAUUCGUUCACAACUCCACCAACAAUGCAUUAGUGUCCCAGUUUUCCUGCAUCCCCUCCAACAUUCAUCAUUAUUUUUUCCCGUCAUCUUAGCCAAUCUGACAGGUGUGUAGUGGUAUCUCAGAGUUGUCUUAAUUUGCAUUUCUCUGAUCAAUAAUGAUUUGGAACACUCUUUCAUAUGAGUGGUAAUAGUUUCAAUUUCAUCCUCUGAAAAUUAUCUGUUCAUAUCCUUUGACCAUUUAUCAAUUGGAGAAUGGCUUGAUUUCUUAUAAAUUUGAGUCAGUUCUCUAUAUAUUUUGGAAAUGAGGCCUUUAUCAGAACCUUUAACUGUGAAGAUGUUUUCCCAGUUUGUUGCUUCCCUUCUAAUCUUGUUUGCAUUAGUUUUGUUUGUACAAAGGCUUUUUAAUUUGAUGUAAUCAAAAUUUUCUAUUUUGUGAUCAGUAAUGGUCUCUAGUUCAUCUUUGGUCACAAAUUUCUUUCUCCUCCACAAGUCUGAGAGAUAAACUAUCCUAUGUUCCUCUAAUUUAUUUAUAAUCUCGUUCUUUAUGCCUAGGUCAUGGACCCAUUUUGAUCUUAUCUUGGUAUAUGGUGUUAAGUGUGGGUCCAUGCCUAAUUUCUGCCAUACUAAUUUCCAAUUAUCCCAGCAGUUUUUAUCAAAUAAUGAAUUCUUAUCCCAGAAGUUAGGGUCUUUGGGUUUGUCAAACACUAGAUUGCUAUAGUUGACUAUUCUGUCUUGUGAAUCAACCUUUUCCACUGAUCCACUAAUCUAUUUCUUAGCCAAUACCAAAUGGUUUUGGUGACUGAUGCUUUAUAAUAUAAUUUUAGAUCAGGUACAGUUAGGCCACCUUCAUUUGAUUUUUUUUUUCAUUAAUUCCCUUGAGAUUCUCGACUUUUUAUUGUUCCAUAUGAAUUUUGUUGUUAUUUUUUCAAGAUCAUUAAAAUAUUUUCUUGGAAGUCUGAUUGGUAUAGCACUAAAUAAAUAGAUUAGUUUAGGAAGUAUUGUCAUCUUUAUUAUGUUCGCUCGCUGAUCCAAGAGCACUUAAUAUUUUUCCAAUUAUUUAAGUCUGACUUUAUUUGUGUGGACAUUUAGCCUUUAUUCUUGCUCAGUAUAAUUUACAUCCCCUAUUCUCCACUUUUAUGGCUACUUAUCUAAUUCAGGACAUCUUCAACCCUCCCCUUAGUCAUAGACUAGCCUUCACAUAUUCCCUCCCCCACUCUCUUGCCCCACCCCACCUAGCUGUGCUAGAUUGAUCUAUUUGCUGUUCCUUGUACAAACAUUUUAUUUCCCUUAGCACACGCUUUCCCUUGUGCCUUGUGUGUCUUCCUAUCUCACCUAUAUCUCUUGGAAUCCUUUACUCCCUUCAAGGAUCAUUUCAAAGGCCACUUCCUACUUCCUAUACAAACAAAAGGUUUUUCCUUAUUCUUCCCUACCCCAAAUCACUUAGUACUUUCCCACUCUCAAAAUCAUUUCAUAUUUACUUUGCAUGUAUUUUGCAUUUAAUUACAUAGUUGUACAUUUUUUCUAAGUAGAGUAUAACAAGCUCCUUGGGCUUGUUUUUAUCUUCAUAUCCCCAGAGCAUUGCAUAAUUAAUUAAUUCACAUAUUAAGUAGGCACUUAAUAAGUGCUUGUUAGAUUGAAUUAUACAGUCCAACUCUCAUUUUAUAGAUGAAGAAAGCAAUUUCAAAAAAUAUGAGUCUCAGUUAAUAAGCAACAGAGUCAGGAGUUGUACUCAGAUCUCCUGAAUACCACUAUGCCAUGGCUCUGCAUGUUUCCUUAGGGGUAGAACUAACUAACUGGUUGUCAAGAUCUUGUUGAGAAAUUUGCUAUUUACCCAUCAUCUCUUGGCAUUCUAUUUGUUUAUCCAGUACAUUUGUGCUGAGCUCUGUCAAUGCCAGACACAUGAUUAGCUGUAGUAUAUCCUUCUUGACUCUUAGUCAGAGAAGCUCUGGCAAAUACACAAAAAUGGGUAUAACAAAUUAGCAUUUUUUAAAACAUGAUUUCAUCUGGCAAUAUAUAGAAACUUUUUUCUCUGAAAAUUGCUGAGCAAAAUUAUUAGAGAUCCUACUACCUUUUUAAUUUGGCUGGUCAAUUAACAUUUAUUAAGUACUUCCUAUGUGUCUGAGGGCCAGAGGAGAAAGAGACAACAGGAUGGUUAAGUGGAUAGAAUCCCAAUCUAGGUUAGGAAGUUAUUCCUCUUCUUGAGCUCAAAUCUUGCCUCAGACAUUUAUUUACUGUGUGACAUUGGGCAAGUUACUUAACUUUAUUUGCCUCAGUUUUCUCAUCUGUAAAAUGAGCUGGAGAAGGAAAUUUUUGGCAAGAAAACCCCAAAUGCGGUCUUGAAGAGUCAGAUAUGACUGAAAAAUGACUGAACAAAACUAUUUGUGAGGUGCUAAGUGCUGAAAAUACAAAUAAUGACUAAAGCACUUAAGUCAAAUUUUAUAUGUAUGAUUUAAAAAAAAUUAUAGAAAACUCAAGUAACCUAUUAGGAUAUCAAAGUAUAUUUGAGAACACUGAGGUUCUAGAAACUGUAUAAUCUCAUGGACAGAAGACUCUGAGGUUAAACUGGGAUAAAAUUCUACUCUAAGUAGCAUUCAUUCAUUCAAUACAUUAUUUAUUGACUAUUUGCCAUCUACAAAGACUGUAAGAAUAAGACAUGUUUCCUGAACUCCAGAAUCUAAUCUUAGAAACUGACUUGAAAGACUUGCUUAUCCAAAGCAAUCCCAAUAGACUUUGGACAGAAAACGCCAUCUGCAUCUAGAAAAAGAACUAUGGAGACUGAAUAUAAAUCAAUACAUGCUAUGCUUAUUUCUUUUUUCUGCUAUUUAAAAUCUCUCCCAUGGUUUUUCCUUAUUGAUCUGAUUUUUCUCUCCCAACAUGAUUCAUAAAACAAUGUGUAUUUUUAAAAAUAAUGAAUAUAAUAAGAAAGACUUGCUUAUAA